rnacentral:rRNA from 1 species
UACAGAGGUCUCAAGCGUUGUUCGGAUUCAUUGGGCGUAGAGGGUGCGUAGGUGGCGGGGUAAGUCAGGUGUGAAAUUUCGGAGCUUAACUCCGAAACUGCAUUUGAUACUGCCUUGCUUGAGGACUGGAGAGGAGACUGGAAUUCACGGUGUAGCAGUGAAAUGCGUAGAGAUCGUGAGGAAGACCAGUGGCGAAGGCGGGUCUCUGGACAGUUCCUGACACUGAGGCACGAAGGCCAGGGGAGCAAACGGG